CCUACGGGGGGCAGCAGUGGGGAAUAUUGGACAAUGGGGGGAACCCUGAUCCAGCGACGCCGCGUGAGUGAAGAAGUCUUUCGGUAUUUAAAGCUCUAUCAGCAGGGAAGAAAGAAAUGACGGUACCUGACUAAGAAGCCCCGGCUAACUACGUGCCAGCAGCCGCGGUAAUCCGUAGGGGGCAAGGGUUCUCCGGAUUUACUGGGUGUAAAGGGAGCGUAGACGGCGAUGCAAGUCUGAAGUGAAAGGCGGGGGCCCAACCCCUGGACUGCUUUGGAAACUGGAUGGCUGGAGUGCAGGAGAGGUAAGUGGAAUUCCUAGUGUAGCGGUGAAAUGCGUAGAUAUUAGGAGGAACACCAGUGGCGAAGGCGGCUUACUGGACUGUAACUGACGUUGAGGCUCGAAAGCGUGGGGAGCAAACAGGAUUAGAUACCCCUGUAGUC
rnacentral:rRNA from 1 species